UGUUUCCCUAUCUAUUUCCCAUGAAGUGAUGGGACCGGAUGCCGUGAUCUUCGUUAAUACCUUAAGAUGUUUCUUUCUCAUUAGGUAAGUCAGAGAAGUGCAUGAAAGCAUGUAAUGGAAAUAGCUUUUAACCGUUAAGCUUCCUGCACUGUCUCAUGAAGUGUGUGGAAGCCGACCUGCUGACUUGCUGACAUGCUGAGGUCUCAGUGUUGACAACUUAGACUCACUUAUUUUUAGCUCCCGAAGGAGCUCGAAAAAGCCUUAGUAAACAUGUACUAAGGCUGUGCAGACAGGGUGCUUGUUUUCAGUAAAACAAGAGGAGUCUGUCAAGACGAUUUGGAAAUGGCCAUCGCGUACUGGAAUCUGGAAUUAUCCGGAAGGUUUAAGUUUCUAGAUCUUUGGAACACCUUCUUGUUGUGUGCUUUCUGCAGCUGCACAGUGGCGUCAUGCAGCCCCUAACACUGGCCCAAAGCUCCGUUGCUGCAUUAACGGUGCUGGUCUGGUCCUCACGCCUGGUCACAUUGUGUCCUGAGACCACCGGGCUGAGAGCACCAUCUGAGCCAGCGGCCCACUGGUUUUUCCUCUUGUGUUUUUGGAGCAUCACAAAAGAUCAAUCCCGAGGGACACUUGGAACCUUCUAGAUUUUGGAAACACGAUCGCAGAUGACAUGUCCAACUACGAUGAAGAAGGUAGAUGAAGUCCGCAGACCUCAGGUGAUGGCCAGUGGGCAGGAGCAUGGCCUGUUCUCAGAGAUGAUUUCGUAGAGUACGCACGGCCAGUGGUCACAGGUGGUAAAGGCAGUCGUGUCUCGGCAGAAAAUUGAGUUGGAUUUAGAUGAACGGGAACCGCGUCCUGCAGGAGAUGCUGGCCAGCUGUGCCCGUCGCCCAUUUCUUCCUGACCAGUCGUGAGCCUGGAGACCCCCUCCCGCUGCUUAGAGAAGACGCCGCUGACUACUGGUGCCGGAGACCCUCCAUGAUAGCGGCUGGGCACCUGGAGGCGGGGCUCUAGCCCUGCGGUAGGAGCCCUCCGUGACUGUGGAGGGGCGGAGCCUGUCUGCAGCCUCGGACCUUCAGAUCCUGGUGAGCCCUGCACGCUCACACCCACUGGUUGUCUGGGAACCACACCCAAGAAACCGCCGGUCAGGCGGCCAGACACAUGUCCUGAGAAGACAGUCGUAGACGCUGAGGUUUUUAGAUUUGGUGCCAGGAUUAAGACAUAAGUUUUUUGAAUUAUCCAGAUUUAUCAGCUCUGUUUUCUCUGGAUGAUCAUGGGAAUGGUUUUACAGGUCGACAGGCUGUUGAGGUUUGCACAGCAACUUUAAACUGUGUGCAAGUCAGCGGGUCUGUUUACUGCUAAUAGUGUCUAUUAAGCUACCUAAGAAGCUUCAUAAAGUAUGCAAGUAUGCUUUUUUUAAAAAUGUAUUUUAUUACAUUUAAAAAGACAUUUUUCUGUGAGAAAUUAUCUCUUUUGUGAUAAAUUU